rnacentral:rRNA from 1 species
AACCCUUGUCAUUAGUUGCUACAUUCAGUUGGGCACUCGUAAUGAGACUGCCGGUGACAAACCGGAGGAAGGUGGGGAUGACGUCAAGUCCUCAUGGCCCUUAUAGGUGGGGCUACACACGUCAUACAAGUGGAUGGUACAAAGGGUCGCCAACCCGGCGAGGGGGAGCCAAUCCCAUAAAGCCAUUCGUAGUCCGGAUCGCAGUCUGCAACUCGACUGCGUGAAGUCGGAAUCGCUAGUAAUCGUGGAUCAGAAUGUCACGGUGAAUACGUUCCCGGGUCUU